rnacentral:misc_RNA from 1 species
UCUCCAAUAAUUUGGUCUACACCAAUAAUUUAUAAUUAAUAUAUCUAAAUUAAAAAAAAAAUCUUAUAUUUAAUUUCACUGAGGUAAAAAGACAAAUGAAAGCCAACAAUUCUACUUAUUAUUGUCAUGAACAAGAAAUGUAGAACAGUAUAAAUUAUAUUACAGUAGCAGCAGUGACCAGUUAGGAGAAGUAGCCAAACAUUUGGCAUCUAGUUAAAAGCUAAAAUCAAUAUGAUUAACCUGAUAAAGUAAAAAAAAAAAAUCAAAAUUAAAAAAAAAAGACGACACCGACUUAGUUUCUAGUUCCAAACAGAAGCUCCGAGGUUGCUGGAAAUCAAACUCUCCAAUCCCAACAACUGGUCAGAGAAUUCUCCAUACAUGUCCUCUGGCGGAUAUACCCACCCAUCCACUGAUUCAAACAAUAUAAACUCGUUCUGCGGUUGGGCCAAGUCAAAACUGCCUUCUAUAUUUGGCAACUCCACGAUUUCGCUUAAUUCCUCUGAUUCUGACACAUCGUCCGACACGGACACCGAGGAUGAUGAUUCUGAUAAUAUCGAUGAUGAUGACGAAGACGAAGAAGAUGAUGAUGAAGAAGAA